GGAUAAAGAUAAGGAAGAUNNNNNNNNNNNNNNNNNNNNAAGGAAGAUAAGAAGAUAAAGAUGAGAAGAUAAAGAUAAGGAUAACGAUAAAGAAGAUAAAGAUAAGGAUAAAGAUAAGAAGAUCAGGAUAAAGAUAAGGAAGAUAAAGAUAAGGAAGAUAAAGAUAAGGAUAAGGAACAUAAAGAUUAAGAUAAGGAUAAAGAUAAGGAAGAUAAAGAUAAGGAUAAAGAUAAGGAUAAAGAUAAGGAUAAAGAUUAAAAGAUAAAGAUAAGGAAGAUAAGGAAGAUAAAGAUAAGGAAGAUAAGGAAGAUAAAGAUAAGGAUAAGGAACACAAAGAUUAAGAUAAGAUAAAGAUAAAGAGAAGGAAGAUAAAUAUAAGGAAUAUAAAGAUAAGGAUAAAGAAGAUAAAUAUAAGGAAGAUAAGGAUAAAGAUAAGAGGAUAAAUAUAAGGGAGAUAAGGAUAAGGAAGAUAGGAAGAUAAAGAUAAGAAGAUAAAGAUAAGGAUAAAGAUAAAGAUAAGGAUAAAGAUAAGAAGAUAAAGAUAAGGAUAAAGAUAAAGAUAAGGAUAAAGAUAAGAAGAUAAAGAUAAGGAUAAAGAUAAGGAUAAGGAUAAAGAUAAGAAGAUAAAGAUAAAGAUAAGGAUAAAGAUAAGGAAGAUAAACAUAAAGAUAAGGAUAAGGAACAUAAGGAUAAAGAUAAGGAUAAAGAUAAGGAUAAAGAUAAGGAUAAAGAUAAGGAUAAAGAUAAGGAUAAAGAUAAGGAUAAAGAUAAAGAUAAGGGAGAUAAAGAUAAGAAGAUAAGAUAAGAUAAGGAUAAAGAUAAGAGGAUAAAGAUAAAAAUAAGGAUAAAGAAGAUAAUGAUAAGAAUAAAGAUAAAGAAGAUAAAGAUAAGGAAGAUAAAGAUAAGGAUAAAGAAGAUAAAUAUAAGGAAGAUAAGGAUAAAGAUAAGAGGAUAAAUAUAAGGGAGAUAAGGAUAAGGAAGAUAAGAAGAUAAAGAUAAGAAGACAAAGAUAAGGAUAACGAUAAAGAUAAGGAUAAAGAUAAAGAUAAGAAGAUAAAGAUAAGGAUAAAGAUAAGAAGAUAAGGAUAAAGAUAAGGAAGAUAAACAUAAAGAUAAGGAUAAGGAACAUAAAGAUUAGGAUAAGGAUAAAGAUAAGGAUAAGGAACAUAAAGAUUAAGAUAAGGAUAAAGAUAAGGAAG
rnacentral:lncRNA from 1 species